AGGCGGCUGCUCCGGCCGGCAAAACUUUGGGCUCUACGGUCGAGAAGAAACCAGGGGCGCUUUCAACAAGUCUCCGGAAAGCAGAAUUGAUUUCCAGGAAGAAAGCACAAGAGAAGAAAAUACAGGGGACAACUCCUAGAAGUUAUUUUCCCUCUUGCUGUAGCUCCCUAGGAGUUUUUGCUGUGUUAUUCGAACAUGGAAUAAACUUUGUUUGUUGUAAACUU